AUAUUGAUCAGAUGCUUCAGUGCUCUGAGAGUGUUUAUAGUGCUGUGAGUUUAACACUUCAUCACUCAGAGCUUUUCUUCAUUCAAACUGAAAUUAAACCACCAACAAGCAGAAUGAUGAUCAUCAGCGUCUGUAUCUGGACUCUCAUUCUUUCUGUUCAAGGAAUUACAGGACAAGUUUCUGUGACUCAGACUCCCUCAGCAUCAGCUGUUCAACCAGGAGAAACAGUUACUAUAAACUGUCAAACUAGCAGAGGAAUCGGAGAUCAUUCUUGGGGUUGUAGAGACUGUCUUGCCUGGUAUCUGCAGAAACCUGGAGAAGCUCCUAAACUCCUCAUUUAUGACAUUAGAUCACGACAGUCAGGAACUCCACCUAGAUUCACUGGCAAUGGAGCAGAUUAUGGAACCGAUUUCACUCUGACCAUCAGUGGAGUCCAGACUGAAGAUGCUGGACAUUAUUACUGUCAGAGUGUACACUACAUCAGUGGCUGGGUGUUCACACAGUGAUAAAGAGUCGUACAAAAACCUCCGUCAGUCAGAGUCACAGUGACUGAACUGAUACUGCAGCUGCUCACACACUUUCACACACUCAACAACAGACACUCAAAACAAUACUACAUAAAGAAAUUCUCUUAAAACUUUUCUUUCGAUCACUGUAAAUCUAUCACAAAAUUUUAACAAAGCAAGUUACAUCAUUAUGCCAGUAGAUGGUGACAAGAGACUGACAAAGCG